AGCAGAGUGGCGCAGCGGAAGCGUGCUGGGCCCAUAACCCAGAGGUCAGUGGAUCGAAACCAUUCUCUGCUA
rfam:Takifugu rubripes chromosome, Chr_2